rnacentral:rRNA from 1 species
CUGGGAAACUGCCCGAUGGAGGGGGAUAACUACUGGAAACGGUAGCUAAUACCGCAUAACGUCGCAAGACCAAAGAGGGGGACCUUCGGGCCUCUUGCCAUCGGAUGUGCCCAGAUGGGAUUAGCUUGUUGGUGAGGUAACGGCUCACCAAGGCGACGAUCCCUAGCUGGUCUGAGAGGAUGACCAGCCACACUGGAACUGAGACACGGUCCAGACUCCUACGGGAGGCAGCAGUGGGGAAUAUUGCACAAUGGGCGCAAGCCUGAUGCAGCCAUGCCGCGUGUAUGAAGAAGGCCUUCGGGUUGUAAAGUACUUUCAGCGGGGAGGAAGGGAGUAAAGUUAAUACCUUUGCUCAUUGACGUUACCCGCAGAAGAAGCACCGGCUAACUCCGUGCCAGCAGCCGCGGUAAUACGGAGGGUGCAAGCGUUAAUCGGAAUUACUGGGCGUAAAGCGCACGCAGGCGGUUGAUUAAGUCAGAUGUGAAAUCCCCGGGCUCAACCUGGGAACUGCAUCUGAUACUGGUCAGCUUGAGUCUCGUAGAGGGGGGUAGAAUUCCAGGUGUAGCGGUGAAAUGCGUAGAGAUCUGGAGGAAUACCGGUGGCGAAGGCGGCCCCCUGGACGAAGACUGACGCUCAGGUGCGAAAGCGUGGGGAGCAAACAGGAUUAGAUACCCUGGUAGUCCACGCCGUAAACGAUGUCGACUUGGAGGUUGUGCCCUUGAGGCGUGGCUUCCGGAGCUAACGCGUUAAGUCGACCGCCUGGGGAGUACGGCCGCAAGGUUAAAACUCAAAUGAAUUGACGGGGGCCCGCACAAGCGGUGGAGCAUGUGGUUUAAUUCGAUGCAACGCGAAGAACCUUACCUGGUCUUGACAUCCACGGAAGUUUUCAGAGAUGAGAAUGUGCCUUCGGGAACCGUGAGACAGGUGCUGCAUGGCUGUCGUCAGCUCGUGUUGUGAAAUGUUGGGUUAAGUCCCGCAACGAGCGCAACCCUUAUCCUUUGUUGCCAGCGGUUAGGCCGGGAACUCAAAGGAGACUGCCAGUGAUAAACUGGAGGAAGGUGGGGAU